rnacentral:rRNA from 1 species
GACGAACGCUGGCGGCGUGCUUAACACAUGCAAGUGGAGCGACGAACCAUCUUCGGAUGGGGCAAAGCCGCGAACGGGUGAGUAACACGUGGGUAACCUGCCUUGAUGAUUGGGACAACCCCGGGAAACCGGGGCUAAUACCAAAUGUGCUCCUUCCCUCUGAGGGGAAGGUGGAAAGGAAGCUUCGGCCUCCGCAUCGAGAUGGGCCCGCGGCGCAUUAGCUUGUUGGGGGGGUAACGGCCUACCAAGGCGACGAUGCGUAGCUGGUCUGAGAGGACGAGCAGCCACACUGGGACUGGGACACGGCCCAGACUCCUACGGGAGGCAGCAGUGGGGAAUCUUGCGCAAUGCGCGAAAGCGUGACGCAGCAACGCCGCGUGGGGGAAGAAGGCCUUCGGGUUGUAAACCUCUUUCAGUUGGGACGUAGCUUCGGCGGUGAAUAGCCGCCUGGAGUGACGGUACCUUCACAAGAAGCCCCGGCUAACUACGUGCCAGCCGCCGCCGUAA